CAAGGACUGGGUCAUUGUCCCUAUCUGCCCUGGCUAAUGUCCGUACAUGAGCUGCAAGCGUACUUGGACCGCUCUGGCCGCCCUGGGCGCUACCCGCAGAGAUAAGGGCCCCUCCCUGCGCCCGGUCCGGGCAUCUCCGAGCCGGCCUGGGGGUGGCUGAACUCUCUUUUGCCGGCCGAAACCCCAGCCCCCGCAGCCCCCGCAGCCGAUCGGUCCUCAAGCUACAGCUCCCCUCUCUGGGAGUCCCCGCUUUUGAAUUCCCCGGGGAUGUUCCCGCUGCGGUCCGAUGGACCUCCCAGAGCAGCGGAGGUCAGGGGAGCUAGCAGAGGCGGGGACGUCCCUUGGGAGUGAGGGGACUGACAGGGGCGGCCUCGUAACCCUGCGUGGGAUGGAAGGUCAGAGUGGGUUCCUCGGUGGGGGGCAACAGCGGGGGCUCUCCGGCAAUUGUCCCCGACCCUCCGUCCUGGGGAGGGCAGGAUCAGCGCGCGGGCUGCUUUGCAUCUCUUUGCAUUUUAGUGAUGUUUGGUCCAGUCCUGGCCCGGGCAGAUCUGGGGUUCGGGCGGGUGCCGGUGGGGUAGGGCUGGGGGUGGGAGCGGCGUUUCCUGCUGCGGGUGAGCCUUUUGCCUCGGAACUGGACCCGGGAGACAUCACAGCGCUGGGCUAGGGGCGCGGCUUGAACUCGCCUAAAGAGCUGCGCCCUCUCACCCGUGCCGCCCCAGCCGCUGCCGCCUGCACCGGACCCGGAGCCGUCAUGCCCAAGUGUCCCAAGUGCAACAAGGAGGUGUACUUCGCCGAGAGGGUGACCUCUCUGGGCAAGGACUGGCAUCGGCCCUGCCUGAAGUGCGAGAAAUGUGGGAAGACGCUGACCUCUGGGGGCCACGCUGAGCACGAAGGCAAACCCUACUGCAACCACCCCUGCUACGCAGCCAUGUUUGGGCCUAAAGGCUUUGGGCGGGGCGGAGCCGAGAGCCACACUUUCAAGUAAACCAGGUGGUGGAGACCCCAUCCUUGGCUGCUUGCAGGGCCACUGUCCAGGCAAAUGCCAGGCCUUGUCCCCAGAUGCCCAGGGCUCCCUUGUUGCCCCUAAUGCUCUCAGUAAACCUGAACACUUGGAAAACCUGUCCCUGCCAGGAGCCCGGAAGUGGGUCCGCACGAGACAGAAUAGACUACACUCAAACUCCAGGGGAACCGUUCAUUGGGCUUGGACACGAAGGCGGGACCCUGCCGACGCAGUGAUUGGAUGCAUGUCCGGCCAGCGCGGUGAUUGGACCUCCGCGCUCUGGCAGCUCCUCUUCCGUGUGCUCUC
rnacentral:lncRNA from 1 species